UCCGUAGGUGAACCUGCGGAAGGAUCAUUGU
rnacentral:rRNA from 22 species